UACGUAGGGUGCGAGCGUUAAUCGGAAUUACUGGGCGUAAAGGGUGCGCAGGCGGUUAUAUAAGACAGAUGUGAAAUCCCCGGGCUCAACCUGGGAACUGCGUUUGUGACUGUAUGACUAGAGUACGGUAGAGGGGGAUGGAAUUCCGCGUGUAGCAGUGAAAUGCGUAGAUAUGCGGAGGAACACCGAUGGCGAAGGCAAUCCCCCUGGACCUGUACUGACGCUCAUGCACGAAAGCGUGGGGAGCAAACAGG
rnacentral:rRNA from 1 species